CAGAAAAAUUUUAUAUUGGAUGCUGACAUGGGAAGCAGGUAUAAAGCCUGCACGGUCCCGCCGCUGUAAUUGAAGAGUUCUCCAGGGAAUGCCACUGGUUAAACCCGGGAAGGUCUGGAGAAUGAUGACGCUUGAGUCAGAAUACCUGUCCGCAUCCAGGAAACGGC
rnacentral:ncRNA from 2 species